rnacentral:rRNA from 1 species
AAUGAACGUUGGCGGCGUGGAUUAGGCAUGCAAGUCGCGCGACAAGGAACCUUCGGGUUCUGGAGGAGCGGCAAACGGGGUAGUAAGGCAUCGGAACGUACCCUCUUGUUGGGAAUAGCCGCGGGAAACUGCGAGUAAUGCCCAAUAAUCCCUACGGGGCAAAGGUCCGCCGCAGGAGGAGCGGCCGAUGUGAUACCAGCUAGUUGGUGAGGUAAUGGCUCACCAAGGCUUAGACGUCUAGGGGGUGUGAGAGCAUGGCCCCCACCACUGGGACGUGAGAUACUGCCCACGACACCUACGGGUGGCUGCAGUCGAGAAUCUUCGGCGAAUGGGCGGCAAGCCUGACCGAGCAACGCCGCGUGCGGGAGUGAAGGA